AUAGGAGUCCUUUGGGGACAGAAACUGAAUUCCGCUUGUUAUUAACCUCUCCCCUUCCCUGGGCUGUGCCUUUCACCCGAACUCUGGUCCCGCCUUUCUCUGACACUCAGUUCAUUGGUUAUAUAUUUCCUAACGUUUGGCCUUUUAUCUCUCUCCUUCUCUGAGUGCCUUUUUCACAAGUGAAUUCUUUGGUUCAACAAGUCUCCAUGAAACACAUGCUUGGCAUAAUGCUGGGCCCCAGCAAACCUGAGGUUAUCCUUGUGUUAUCCUCACUCUAUCAAUGAAGGGACAGAAGAUCACCGACUCCUGAGAGCUCCCCGUUACCAAUACCGUCUGCACUGACUAGUGAAGAGAUUUUCAGCUUCAAGCAGCCACAAAGCCUCCCAAGCUGGAUUCAGGAAUUGAGAGAAUGAUUGGUUUGUACAAAUGAAAGAAGCAGGAUGAACCUCGGGUUUCACCCGAGUUGAGUCUGCUCUCAGAACAGGGAUGCCCACUGCCCUGUCCAGUACCAAAUGCUUCUGAGUGAAAGAAAGGAGCCUCUUCUCUGCCAGUGGAGGGAAGUUCUGGGCUGUCCCUCUGGCGCUGUGGCCUCUCGAUCCCCAGCCAGACACUGCUGCAGGAGAAUGGUGAGCUGAGAGGUAACUGGUUCCUCCUCUCAGGCUCUGGGGGAGUCUGUGCUGGAGAACUUGCUGGGAUGAUAUUUGCCAACACGCAGCACAGUGCAGGCCUGCAGACGUGCUGACAGAGGCCGAUUCCUGCUACGACUGUAACUACUUUGUUUCAUAUUCAUGCAUUCAAUACGUAGUCAGUCAGUCAUUCAACAAACACUCGCUGUGCGCACACAGUCAAUGUUCCCAGCACUGUUCCAAGGGCUCAGGAGAGUGUGGUAAACAAAAUGAAACAAAAUCUCUGCUUUCCUGACGCUCUCGUCCCACAAGCAAUGAAUAAAUACACACCUAAUAAAAUUGGAAUAAGAAUAGGGGUGGGUGGGGCUGAGCGGAAUUCUCCGUGUACAGAGCGGCCAGAAAGCAGCGUGUGAGCAGAAGACAGGACAGAGUGAGCCCGGGCCGAGGACAGAAGGGACAGAAGCACCGUGGAGCUCUGUGUUUGCUUUCGGCCCAGGGUCUGCAGAGGUCUGGCGAGGUGCGUCUGCGCGUGUGGCGGGAUAGGACCCUUAGACCUCCGACCUGAACACCACGCGCUCAGCCCAGGUUUUGGUGUGAGCUGUAUUUGGUCAACUGAGAAGUUAAAUUUUGCUGUGUGCCUGGAACCUGCAAUUCUGCAUCUGUUUGAAGGCUCAUUUUCCGUGUGAUCCACCAGCAUAAGAAGGUCAUCACAAAAUUUGCGAUGCAUCAUCAGUGGUUCCAGGGAGCCACUCCACCGUGCGGAGGGGCCAGGGUGGAGAUGUCAGGGGUUCCUCUUGCUGGACCAUGAGUGACGGAGAACAGCCCGUAUCGUUGCUCCUCAAGGGUGGGGAAGCAGUAAAACAUCAGGGAUAGGCCUGCAGGUGACAACAAAGGACAGGUCAGAGUUUACACGGUCGCUGACACAUGUAAGUAUGGGCGCUUCUUGGGUUACAGUGGAGCUACGUCCUGAUGAGUACCAAGAGCUGACAGUGUCACAGUUGCCAUGCACUGGACUCGUCUGUCUGCCAAACACCACAGCCCGUCCUGAGCUUCUCAGGUCUGCUCUGGGCACUCACCUUCGCUUGCCUUUGGGUAAAACCAUCUAACACAGGGCCUAUCUUACAAUAAAGCGUGGAUUGACCAUGAAAUUUACCCACUGCUGUUCUGAAAGUAAAAGGCAGAAUGGUGUGUGGAUGUGCUGUGGUACUAUUCUAAAGCCAAAAACUCAAAAACCAACUACUAUAAGUUGAAAACUUUCAGCACUGGCUCUCAGCAGCCUCGGACAUUACGAUAAUGUGAACGUGAUGCUCAUAGAAGUUCAUCCCGCUUAUUUUGCCUGAUUCACAGCUUCUCAUUGCACCUUGACUUAAAAAAAUCUGAUCUUUCCUUUAACACCAGUCAAAUAGAGUGAUGGAUCUUCAAGGGCACUGACUGUCCUGCACCAGACUUGUGAGCAGCUCCCCUCAGCCUGUCCCACUGAAAUUGAGGGCUGUGGGGUUGGAACAUGUGUGGUGCCCGUCAUUUCAUUGUUCAAACCUUGAGAAGUGGAAAUUUCUUUGCAGGUGUUCCAAUAAUUACUUCCAUAUGUCACAUUCACUGCUUCCAAAAGCAGGCCAGGCCUUCUCUAACCACGUAAGCAGCUCUCUGGGGAGACCAGCACUCGGUCCCCAACUUGACAUUUGCCACUGAGAGCGGCAAAUCAUGUGAUAGACUGUCCACCGCGAGACAGGAUGUGAGGCCCCCGGAAAUGCAGCUUCUUGCUGAACACUGUCCUGCAUGAUCGGAACCCCAUGCACUUCCUCGCUCCACUCGAAAGCCAUGACACUGUCGAUCACAAUGGCAGAAGUAAUUGGCAUCGAUUCAGAUGCAGACCUGGCCACAGAUGUGCAACCCACUGCACGUUUGAUUGUUUUUUUCUCUUUGCCAGUAUAAGUGAACUCUGUAAAGAUGUGAUUAAUGCCCUGUAUGUUGUUAAAUCCUCUGCAUAAAAACAGCUUGUAGCACAAAACAAAUGUUCAGUAAAUGAUAAAUACUCAAUGAAUAAAUGAAUGGACGUCAUCUGACUUCCCAUAGUACACAUGAGGGGCUUCCAGGUGGACGCGCCUCGAGGGGUGGAAACCUCCGGUCUGGGGAAGUGGUUUCCGCCCAGUUCUGCUCACUGGCCAGGCAUGGUCCCCACCUGCUCACCAGUCUCCUUGUUACCCGAUAUUCCUUAGCAUUGGGCUCUUCAGGAGGAGAUGUGAGCAGAAAGGUCAGAACAAAUGCGCAGUGAAUAAAAAUGGAGGGGAGAAUAUUAUAGGACUAAAUCCUCAAAAAGUGGUAGGUAUCAGCUGUUUGAGAGGGGGAAAGAAAUCUUAACUUCAAGUUUGGAUAUAACCAGGAACAAAAGGCGGUAGGUACUACGUGGGAUUUCCUUCACUGCUUCCGAGACCCUUCCCUAUCUUUUGUCUUAUUUGCAUGAAGACAGAAAUAAUCCACCUGUAAAAUAGAGAAGGGGUUGUUUUACAG
rnacentral:lncRNA from 1 species